UGCCUUGUGCUCUGGGGAUAAAACAGACCAAUGGAUGAUGCAUACUAGUGCGCAUACUAGUGCACAACAGGCACAGUUACGAAUGCGUGAAUUUGAUGGGAAUCUCAGUGCCAAGAAGUUAUGGGGCUCCAUAGGCUCUGAUGCAUUCGACAGCCAAUGUGGGCAUUAAACCUCUCGAUCCGCCCUACUGCUUCAUGGGCCUGUCAAUUUGGAUGUAGCACUCUUACCGUUCCAAGUCUCCGUAGCUAUGAGUGAAUUGAGCUUACAGACUCGUCACUUGAUGCCGCCUAACAUCAACCCU
rnacentral:sRNA from 1 species